rnacentral:rRNA from 1 species
GAUGAACGCUGGCGGCGUGCUUAACACAUGCAAGUCGAACGGAAAGGCUCCUGCUUGCAGGGGUACUCGAGUGGCGAACGGGUGAGUAACACGUGGGUGAUCUGCCCUGCACUUCGGGAUAAGCCUGGGAAACUGAGUCUAAUACCGGAUAGGACGAUGGUUUGGAUGCCAUUGUGGAAAGUUUUUCGGUGUGGGAUGAGCUCGCGGCCUAUCAGCUUGUUGGUGGGGUAAUGGCCUACCAAGGCGUCGACGGGUAGCCGGCCUGAGAGGGUGUACGGCCACAUUGGGACUGAGAUACGGCCCAGACUCCUACGGGAGGCAGCAGUGGGGAAUAUUGCACAAUGGGCGCAAGCCUGAUGCAGCGACGCCGCGUGGGGGAUGACGGCCUUCGGGUUGUAAACUCCUUUCGCUAGGGACGAAGCGCAAGUGACGGUACCUGGAGAAGAAGCACCGGCUAACUACGUG